AGGAUCAAUUCGCAGUUUAUUUAUGAUGGAUGAGUCAGAUUUGUUGUUACCUUUGUAGCAAUUCAGAAAUAUGGAAGCUUUGGUAAAGCCUUAUAGGUUCUGAAAGACUUUCUUGAACACCACAUUCAACGUUUCCUUCUGCGGCUUUCCUUCUUUGGUGAAUGCUUGCUCAUCUGCCAUUUUUUAGAGGAUUCGUGAAGUGGUAAUGGUAAAGCUUUAAAAGAUCCCAUAAACGCAUAUGCUUCUGUCUGGACCUAAAAAUCUCGUAAGCCCAAUAAGAAGAUUUAUCAUUCGAAUCGGGUCUGCAUUUUUUUAAGAAACAGGAUCCGAAUAGAUGAUCCAAGAUCCGCGUCCCAGUUAUAGUCAAUUGUCAAUUUUACCCCUCUUCGAAAUUUUUUAUUUUGUCGUUUAAAUCUUAAAUUGUAAUGACAUUCUCUUGUAAUUUUUUACACUUUCUAAGGUUAGUUUUUAGAAAAUGCUUCCCAAUUAAUAGUAUAGAU